rnacentral:rRNA from 1 species
AUGAACGCUGGCGGCGUGCCUAAUACAUGCAAGUCGAGCGAACGGACGAGAAGCUUGCUUCUCUGAUGUUAGCGGCGGACGGGUGAGUAACCCGUGGAUAACCUACCUAUAAGACUGGGAUAACUUCGGGAAACCGGAGCUAAUACCGGAUGAUAUUUUGAACCGCAUGGUUCAAAAGUGAAAGACGGUCUUGCUGUCACUUAUAGAUGGAUCCGCGCUGCAUUAGCUAGUUGGUAAGGUAACGGCUUACCAAGGCAACGAUGCAUAGCCGACCUGAGAGGGUGAUCGGCCACACUGGAACUGAGACACGGUCCAGACUCCUACGGGAGGCAGCAGUAGGGAAUCUUCCGCAAUGGGCGAAAGCCUGACGGAGCAACGCCGCGUGAGUGAUGAAGGUCUUCGGAUCGUAAAACUCUGUUAUUAGGGAAGAACAUAUGUGUAAGUAACUGUGCACAUCUUGACGGUACCUAAUCAGAAAGCCACGGCUAACUACGU